rnacentral:rRNA from 1 species
GAACCUGCCCCUAGGACGGGGACAACAGAAGGAAACUUCUGCUAAUCCCGGAUGAGCCGAAAGGUUAAAGAUUUAUCGCCUAGGGAUGAGCUCGCGUCUGAUUAGCUAGUUGGUGGGGUAAAAGCUCACCAAGGCGACGAUCAGUAGCUGGUCUGAGAGGAUGAUCAGCCACACUGGGACUGAGACACGGCCCAGACUCCUACGGGAGGCAGCAGUGGGGAAUUUUCCGCAAUGGGCGCAAGCCUGACGGAGCAAGACCGCGUGGGGGAGGAAAGCCUUUGGGUUGUAAACCCCUUUUCUCAGGGAAGAAGAAAGUGACGGUACCUGAGGAAUCAGCCUCGGCUAACUCCGUGCCAGCAGCCGCGGUAAUACGGAGGAGGCAAGCGUUAUCCGGAAUGAUUGGGCGUAAAGCGUCCGUAGGUGGCUAAUCAAGUCUGCUGUUAAAUCCAGUAGCUUAACUACUGAUCGGCAGUGGAAACUGAUGAGCUAGAGUGCGGUAGGGGCAGAGGGAAUUCCCGGUGUAGCGGUGAAAUGCGUAGAGAUCGGGAAGAACACCGGUGGCGAAGGCGCUCUGCUGGACCGCAACUGACACUCAGGGACGAAAGCUAGGGGAGCGAAUGGGAUUAGAUACCCCAGUAGUCCUAGCUGUAAACGAUGGAGACUAGGUGUUGCCUGUAUCGACCCGGGCAGUGCCGUAGCUAACGCGUUAAGUCUCCCGCCUGGGGAGUACGCACGCAAGUGUGAA